GGUGACUGGAGCAUGAGGCAGCUAGUCACAUUGUGUCCUGAGCCAGGAAGUAGAGAUAUGAGUGAUACUCACCUGACAUCCUCUUUUCCUUUCUGUUCCUACUGGCGUCCCAGCCCACGGAAUGGUGCCACAGCAUCCCCACAGACACUCAGGGAGUGUCUUCUAGCAAAUGACUCAUGAAGUUGAUAGAAGAGGAAACCGAGUUCCAAGAGGUUGGCUGCAUUUGCCACCGCACAGAGGAAAUUGGCACUAAGAAGCUGUACUGACAGGAGAGAUUUUGGAAAAUGACUCAUUUGGAAUUUGUUGGAGGAGUUCAAAAUUGGUGAAACUUCAGCAUUUAGAAAGAAAAAAGAUGGUGUUUGGUCUUUGUGUGUGUCUGUGUGUAUACUUGUGUUGUGCAUGUGUGUGCAUGUGCACGUGGGUGCAUGAGGGUGUGUACAUGCUCAGCAACGCUUCAUAUGUACUUCAGUAUAUGAAAAGUAUCUCUGAAAGUGAGGGCACCAAGUGCCUUUGUCGGAGUCCAAUACAAGUCAUAUUUCUUGUAGGUUGCUAAAGCUUUUGUUGAAAGGGCAGAGCUGUGGAUUCCAGCAAAUAAAAAUCUACUAAUAAUUAUGACAAGAACAUACAAUAAUAUUCUUUCAGAUUACCUUUCUCCCUUGUACGAGAUCACAUGUGCAUCUCUAUCUUUCUGUAUCCUGACUGCAGUGGCCUUUCUACUUAAAAUAAACCACAAAAUAACAAAGUCAAUAGUUUUGAUCUUAGCUAACAGUUAAGUUGCCUUUACCGUGUAUUUUCCAUUGCCCUAAACCAUGAGAUAUAUUCAUUUAACUUAAUCCUCACUGAGAGGUAGAAGGUAUUGCUAUGAUACCCAUCUUACAGAUUGAGAAAAAAUGAUUUACCAAACACUCCACAGCUUGUCAUUAGAACAGGUUACCAACUGUUCAUGACUCUGUGAAGGCCAAGGGCAAUGGGAAGGGAGGAGUGAACACCAGAAUGUUUCUAAAGGAAGAGUCAGCUACCCUCAGAGCAUGGACAGCAGUGCAGAAUCUGAACAGAAAGGAGGUCAGUGACCCAGCAGCCCUCUCAUCUUAUUUUAGAAACGAGGAAACUGAGGUUUAGAGAGGCCAAAUGAUUUGUCGGAGGUCAUGUAAAGAAAUACUGAGAGCUGGGAGGAAAGUCAGAUUUCUCAUUCCUGUUCUGUUGUCAUCCCAGUGGGCUGAGGCCAAUCCUCUCUAAAGCUGCCAAUUCGAGCCAGGGCCCUCUAGAGGAAGGGAGCUAACAGACUGUGUGUGUAGUUAUAAAAGGGAACUGAUUGGGAUGCUAAUGUGACCAGUGGUGAAAAUAGUCUCACAAUGGCACCUGUAGACUGAAGAUUGAGAAAAAGCUUCAUCCAGGAAGCCAGAAGCCUCACAACAAGAGAGAACAAUGAUGUAGUUCCUAGCAUGAAACGCAAGGCCUGGAGAUCUCGCUGGACAGCCUCUGGAGCAAGUCCAUGUCUAAGGACUGAAGAGCCUGGAUCCUGAUGUUUACAGAUGAUGGCAACAGCAACAUUGACUCACGUAGAUUCCAACAUGUGCUAUCAUCUUUUUACUUUUGGUUGCACAUGAGCCUCUAGCUUACUCACAGUGGGCCAUGUGUCUUCCCCACUCAAUUAGGUGACCCACAUCAUCUCUGGAAACAGCAUGACAGACACACCAAGAGGUGUGCUUUGGCAAUUUUCUAUGUCUCUUUUAAUUCAAACAGUCAACAGUCCAGUUGACUAUUGCAAUGUUCUUGCUCUUUCAUUUUGGGUUUUCUAAACUCCUUUCUGUUCCUUUUCAUUGACUUGUAAGUUGGAGGUCCUCAUCUUCAAGUUCAAGUGUUAUUUAAGACCCCUCCUCCUUUGCCAGAUAUUACCUUCAGCCCAGCCUUCACAUACCUAUAAGAUUGCUUUUCUCACUGUGCAACUUGAUUAUUCCCACCUCUUCUGCCCAUGAGCCUCAGGGAUCCUCCAGAUCUUAGAGGAUGUAAAAGAGCUAGUGGGAGGAACUCACAGUUGUGCAUGUGAAUCCAGCUGCAUCAAUAUUGCUCAACCCUAGAACUUAAUAUAGUUAUUUUUUUUCCUAAAGGGAUUUCCAAACCCGUAGGAUGUAAGCCUGCUGGAAAGGUGAUGUUGAUGUAGGAAAAGAGGGCAUUCUCACUGAACACUGAACAGUUCGUGAUUUUACAGGUGUGGUGGUGUCUCUUCCAAAGCCAUGAGGAUGCUAGAGCCUAACACCACAUGCCUGUGCAGAGCCAUCCAGAACUCUUCCCUGAUUGCUCUCUGCAUUUUGGUGUUUGUCUAUAUUGCCUGCAUAUGAAUUUUUCCAUGUCUUGGUUCUUCCCAGUAGUUGGCCAGUAACUAUUUUUGGACUGUAUUAGCAACAUACACAAUUCAAGGACAAAGAAAUUGUCAUCCUCUUUGUUUGCUCCUGUCAUGCUGAGUUCAUUGGUAGAACCAUAAAGAAAGAUUGGGAAACGUUUUUGAGCCAAAUUAAAUAAAGAUAUACU